GCAGAAUCAGAGCCACAGCAGCACAAUGGAACAAGGGCAAUUAUGUUGUACAAAAAGGGAGCAUUCCAUAGCCAACUUCUUUCCAAAUUAAUCUGGGAGAAGAAACUAUUCGAGUAGAGCCAGAGCUGUCUACUUUAAUUACUUCAAGGAUAAAAAUAAAGAUGGCUGUCCUUGAAGUAUGGAGAAGACGGGAGGCAUACUUCAGACUAAGCACUUCCUGGACAAGAAGGAUUUGUUUUGGUCUUCCUUUGAUCUCUAGAGACUAACAGAGAAAGCCAGUCUAUCACAUCUGUGAUUUCAUCCUUGAAGAUGUCUGUAAGGAUCAGUUUCCUCUUCACUGUCACUACGAAGUCUGGGCUCCUACACCAACAUGCAUACAAAAGUUGAGUUACAUGAUCUUCUUGUCUCUAACUGCUUUUCUUUUCUAUCCUACAUGUUGCUGCCAAAAACAAUUUUAUCAAGUCAACUAUCUUCUCAAAAAUGUACAAUAUCUCCUAAUUGGCAACUGUAAAAUCCAAAACUUUAUGACACAAGGGACCCCUAAAAUCUGGUCUUAUACUUCAUGUUAUAUGCACUAGCCAUUGUGUGAGGGGUUUUGAAUAUGAAGUGUUAAUACAAUCCACACAACCUUCAAGAUUAUUACUCCUCCAUUUAUAGACAGAAACUAAAAUUGAGAGGUUAAGGCCUUCUCCAAAGCCCCAGAAGUAGCAUAUGCCAGAUCUGGGAUUAAAGCAUAGGCCUGUCCUUUUCCAAAGCUGUAUCCUGAACACAAUCCUGAUUUCCUAAAAAGAAAUGUACAUUAUAUAAUUCUACUUUCUUCAUCAAUUCAAGGAAAAGGGAACCUAUAUGUAUUGAAUACUACAAGGGACUUUACAGGUGCUACAUCAUUCAAAUCUCAAAAAAACCAAUGAAAGACACACGAUAAUUAAAUAUUUACCAAUGUGGACAUCAAAGCUUAGAGAUGUUAAGAAACUUUCCCCAUGUUACAUGGCAAAAGUAGCAGGCAGAAGCAGGAUUUGAAUUCAGGUCUGCUUUCUGAAGCCAUGCUCUUUCCAAAUUUCUAUACUUCAUACUUCUCUAAACUUAAGUUCUUCUUUUCUCAAAUCCUUUAAUAUAGGCAUUGGUAAACUUUUCUGAAAAAGGUCAGAUAACAAGUAGCUUAGGCACUGAGGGAAAACAAUCUGUUACAACUCAACUUACUCACUGAUGCUUGAAGAUAGGCACAGACAGCAGUAAACAAAUGAGUGUGGCCGGGUUCCAAUACAGCUCCCUUUACAAACGUGGGCAGUGGGCCAGAUCCUGUCCACGGGCUGUGGUUUGUCAAUCUCUGCUUUAAGACAUUCUAUCCUCUGCAACAUACUUAUUAAGCUCAUUUUCAACUCUAAGGUUUUCUCUCGAAUGUGAAUAACUUUCCUGAUCCUCCACUGUAUUUAUUCUACCUCACCUUGUAGGUCCCCGUUUAUUCCUCUAAUAGGUCAUCUCUGGCUACUCAGACAACUCUCAUUCUGAAGUCAACACAGCAACAUCAACAGUUUAACACCCAAAUUUCAGAAGUUGCCUCAGGUAAACAGAGUAUCUCAAGCAGGCUCAAUAGGAACAAUGGCUUAUACACCGUUAGGCACAAGAUUAACAUAUACUGCAUAUUACACAUUUGGUGGCUAAUUCACUUAACUCAUAAAGUAUACAAUCUUCAAUUAUUAAGAUAACCUUAAUUCAUCUGAGCAAAAAAUAAGUGUUUCUUCCUCCUACCUUGAAUACUCCUUCACGUAAUUAAACCACUUUCAGUAUGAGAACAGUAAAAAAAACAAUAAACUGAGAAAAUGCUUACUAGAAUAGGAAGUAGCAUCCAUCUUUCCAACUUUAACUGGAGAACCAAUGCUUUUCAUCUCAAGACCAACUUCAUUCCAAAUCGGUUCCAGUUUUUUACAAUGGCCACACCAUGGUGCAUAAAACUUGUUGGGGGAAAAAGAAAAGACAGCCACUAAAAUGUUGCGCUAUUGUGUAUAGCAAUCUUAAUUUUUAAAGAAAUC